GCCUGGCUGGCUCAGUCAGUAGAGCAUGAGACUCCUGAUCCCAGGAUCAUGAGUUCAAGCCCUAUGUUGGGCA
rnacentral:tRNA from 1 species